rnacentral:rRNA from 1 species
AUUGAACGCUGGCGGCAGGCCUAACACAUGCAAGUCGAGCGGCAGCGGGAAAGUAGCUUGCUACUUUUGCCGGCGAGCGGCGGACGGGUGAGUAAUGCCUGGGGAUCUGCCCAGUCGAGGGGGAUAAUACUUCGAAAGAAGUGCUAAUACCGCAUACGUCCUGAGGGAGAAAGCGGGGGAUCUUCGGACCUCGCGCGAUUGGAGUGGCCGAUGUCAGAUUAGCUAGUUGAUGGGGUAAAGGCCUACCAAGGCAACGAUCUGUAGCUGGUCUGAGAGGAUGAUCAGCCACACUGGGACUGAGACACGGCCCAGACUCCUACGGGAGGCAGCAGUGGGGAAUUUUGGACAAUGGGGGCAACCCUGAUCCAGCCAUUCCGCGUGAGUGAAGAAGGCCUUCGGGUUGUAAAGCUCUUUCGGCAGGAACGAAACGGCGAGCUCUAACAUAGCUUGCUAAUGACGGUACCUGAAGAAGAAGCACCGGCUAACUACGUGCCAGCCGCCGCCGUAACAC